GGCAGACACCGAAAGGGUUAACGGGAAGGAAAUUUCUGGAACCUUCUCUUCUGCGGCGCUCCAGAGCGAGCGCAGGGCUGCGCAGAUGGUGCACGGGCACGGCUCCUCGGUCCGGUUCGCCUCCCUCACCGACCAGCAAUGAAGAUGGCAGCUCUGCCUGGAAGUGCUGAGGACACAGCCAGCCUUGAGCUUGGUCCUUCUGGCCGAGGAAGUCUCCCGAUUAUGCAGUGGAGUGACACACUGGCAGCCUUGGAAAGGAGAGCACAGACGGAUGAACCCUUCCCAAAACAUGCACCUGCACCCUGCCAAGAAGGGCUGACACCUUCUGGGGAGCUUGUGAAGGCAACAGGACAAACUCCAGGUAGCCUGGAGGAGGAGCAGCAGCAUCUUAAUUAUGCUGAAGUGAAACCUGGUUUUAUCAAAACUAUAAAUAAUAAAUGA
rnacentral:lncRNA from 1 species